GGGUGAAUUUUUUUAUAACUCACCCGUUUAAAUUAUAAUAAGGCUUAAAGUUCUGCAUAAUUAAGGGUGUGGCUACUUUGAGUGACAGCCAGUGCUGACACUGCUAAUGGUCUGUUGUCUGCUAGCUGCAAAAAUUAUAUGAUAUCCUAAAACACUUUCCCACUGAAGUAAAUAACUGAACUUAGACUGAAUUCUCCCCUUGUAUGAUAAUUUCUUAUCACUUGUUUAUUUUAUUUUAUGUUACCAAAGACUAUAUUUCUAUUAAGAGCUGUUCCUUCUGACUACAUUUUCUAUAUAUAUUAUUAUAAAGAGUAUGUUCUAGACCUGCUCUAUAGGAAAAGUGCAAUGAGAUAACUUCUGUUAUGAAUUGGCGUUAUUUAAAUAAAAUUGAACUGAAUUGAAUUAAAUACUGGAGAAAUGGAUUAUAUGUUGCAAUGUUUGUUUUUAAAUUCUGCAAUAAACAAUAAAUAAAAAUAAAGUAAAUGGAUUUCCCAAUGAAACCAAUGAAAGUUUAAAGGUUAAAAGAGUUUACAGACUUUAUUUUUAUUGUAAUAUUUAUCAUCAACACAGCCUGUUAAACGAUAGGUAUAUGUCUUGCUUGUAUUACACAAUAUGUUCACAUUUGUUGUCGCUGGUGGAAAGAAACUUCUGCUACUACUCUUGAGUAAAUGUACGUGCUCUGAAAAAAAAAAAGUUCUUAUCCACCAUCUUUGUUGGUGAUAUAAGAGUCACAUGUCUGAAUCAGACACUUCUAUUGGCAACAGUUGAUGACGUCACAGCUAAUUGGAAUGUCUGAUUUAGAGGCUUGACUGUGUGUAUCGAUGUAACACAGGAGCAAAGCAGAGAGGAAAAGUUUGUACAGAAACAGAGAUACAGACAGAUACAAAGACAUGGCAAAAAAGACAUUCAGUGCAGCUGAAGCGUUGGCGCUUAUUUUUCAAGGAGAUCUCGAAGAAACUGACGACGACGAGGACUGCGCCCAAGUCGUGCUAUUCAGUGGAUGAGAGGAAUUUUGCCGAUUUAUAAAAUAUCCUUACUUGUCCUUGUAAGGAUUUACGGAUUUUACAUAAUGUGGGUGUUGACAAGGUUGGCCACCAACAGAGUGGAAGGAAGAGGAGAAGGAGGAGAAGAGGAAGGCUGUCUUCCCCUGACCAACCACAAAUAUUCCCUCCAGGACCAGGAAGAAUACCCCAUUCUGGUGCAAGGUAUGCCAGAUGCCCCUGUGUGUGAAUGUGGACAAGAACUGCCAUGAUGCAUAUCAUAUUUAGGGAUAUUCAUUGGCAGGGAAAACAAUGAUAAUUCCUGGCCAAAAACACCCAUGGACACUGCCCAAAAAUAACUCAUAAAAACAAGAAGCUAGAACUUCAAACCACUCCUAGCACAACCCAAACAAAUGUCUGCAACUUUCUCUGUUUAGUUUUUAUUUCCUUAUUAUGGUUUGCAGUGCUGUUUUCAAUAAAAUAAUUAAAAAUUCAAGUUCAGUUUUUUUGUUUUAUGAGCAAAUUUUAUAGUGAAUAUAAGUCAUAUAUUGAGUGAUAUAUAUCAUUAUCUGAGGUUUUGCUGACUCUGGGAAUGUUGAAACUUGAUAAUACUGUAAAACAUGACUUUAUAAGAAACCACCCCCCCACAAAGAUAUGCAAAAACAGAAAGGCCUUAAUGUGAGUCGCAGAGGGUUAAGGCAUCACAGUGAAUUAUGUCUGUUUCUGUAUUGUCAAAGUUACAUCAUUGUUGUGGUAAUGCAAAAUAUUCACAAUCAAAAUGCCUUUGUCAAUAUUACAACAUUAGCUCUACCAAUAUUUGAAAGUCUAAAGUCUCACAAGCAAGUCGAUACUGUAGUAAAAUUAAGCAAUAUUACACGAGUGUGUGGGUCAGGACCGAGCCGCUUGCGAUUAUACAAGUUACCAACAAAAUAAAAGAUAUAAUCAAAAUGUUUUCAUAUUGUGGGGCAAUUCGCUCUCAAAAUAAAAAAAAAACUUUUUGCUAGUGUUAUCUCCGUAUCGCCAUGUAAUGAAACCUAGUUUACUACUCUAGCAAGUAGGCCGACCCGUGUGUGUCCACAGGGGCGUUUUUGGACCAUCUGUGGGAAAAAUGGAUUUAAAGUGCACUUGCGGAGUUUUUAGUUUGGCCAUCCGCUAACAUGGAGGGGGCGGGGUUUAUGACCCAUACUGCAGCCAGCCACCAGGGGACGAUCGAGAUGGUUUGGCUUCACUUUUGGGGAGCUGUCAUGUCGUCCAUCUUUAUAUACAGUACUCUUUGGUCUCAAACCGGACCAACAUGGCAGCUCGUUUGGAAACUCUCUAGUAUAUUACAAAAAUAGUUCACCAAACUGUGUUUCUGAAAACAUAAGCUACACAAAUAGGCCAUGCAGUUGCUGAAUCUGUCUUCAUUUUAGAUCGACAAUGGUUAGUUUAAACGUUUUUCUGGUGUUUUCCAGAGGCGUCGAGUCGCGCUAGACGUCUCUGAUUUGCAUAAAGGAGCCUAGAUUCAACUUUAUGCAAAUGAGCAGCGGCCAACGUGACGGCCCGUCUGUCGAAGCGCAAUGCUACCCUACCGGAAUGCAUUUCAGGGCUUUCUACAUAGACAAUGAAUGGAAGGCGUUCCUGUGGACACGACCUAGCAACAGAGACGAUUUCUAGUCCGUGUUGAGUCAGCCAGCCAACUUGAGCUAAUGUUUUCUAGAGAUCGUGGGAUUUCCCAAACUGAAUAAAUACCACACAUAUGAACACAAAACUGCCUUGCUAGCUCAAUAUUGUUGUAACUAAGAUUUUUUUUUUAAUUAAAUUUUCCAUUGACAGAUUUAGCUACUACGUCCGUGAACUUCAGAUGUAUUUUUAAGCUAGUAGCACGUUUUUUUUUUAAAUUUUAUCUUUUUUUUUAUCUUUUAUCUAACAUACACACCAGCGGCCGUAAAAGUUAAAUUAUACCUGCUGACAUUUAAAAUAUUAUUUUUUAGAAUAGGCCCUGACGGUUCCCCUCGCUCACCUGCGGCUGUCCACCGGGAGCACAUCUCCGUACUGCUGAGUCAGCGGCACCGGCUACAUCCACUUCUUCCGGCAAUGAUGCAUUUGCCACGGUAACGUUACGAAGACUGGCUAGCUAGCUAACUAGGCCAGUAGCCAAAGUUUUUAGCCAGCUAGUGUCAUCUGAAAGCUCCAAAUGUCUUGCUUGGGCCAGAAAUGACCCCAGUUCCAGAGACUUUGUUUCCUGCAUUCUGGUAACUGAAAUAAUGAAAAUAACAAAAUAAUACGUACACUGCAACAGCAUUUUUAUGUUAAAUACUUUUAUAAUUUUUCUUUUCAUUCUCAGAAAAGAAUACAGAAUAAUUGGCCCCUCUGGCGUGAAUUUGCGUGAAUCUCUGGCCUAAACUAAUAAUCAGUUUUCAUUUAUUCAUUCGAUUUUUGUCCCUGCCCCCUUCCAUAAGAAAAGGGAGUUCUUCUUUCCAGGACGUCUGACAUUUGCGUGAGUAUUUCUUUCUGCUCUCCAGUUCUCUCUCCGUCUCUCACACACUGGGACGACGAGACGCGAACGUGCCAGAAACAGGUUGUGAUAAUGAAAAGGAAAAACGGUGAGGGCAAUAAAACAAACUGGAGUCUCCCGGGAAAAUCAGGAGAGCUGGCAAGCGUGGUGGGAGAUACCAAGUUUGGUGAGUUAAUACCAUACUGCUGUAAAACAUGUAUUUUGAAAAGAAAAAACGUAUUUAAAAUAAAUAUAACAAUUUAAAGUUGUAUGUCCCUCCCCUAUUGCCAAAAUAAAAAACAUAAGUCCCUCCCAAGUGCUUGAAACAUUUUAAAAUGUAAAUUUGACGUGCCUCCCCCGUUUUGCUGCUUGGAAGGAAAACAGAUGCAUUAAAACAUACAACACCGGUAUUGUCCUUUAAGUUACGUGUUGUAUUGUUUCAGUGUGACAUACCUGCUUGCCUCCAAGAUAACACCAUUCCAUUAGGCCCCACUCUCUCAGAGAAAAGCAUCAGUAUGUCUAUACACGCUGUAAACUUAUUAUUCACGUUAAAAGGCUGAAUCGACACUGAACUGCUCUCUUUGGGUUUAGACCGGGAAGUAUAGUAUGUUGUGGGGUUUGGCCUGAAGCUUAAAAUGCUGCCUACAGUGUGGUAUUUGGUCAGGUGUACAUAGUUGUGACAACGGGGAAACCUCCAAGUACUCUGCAAAUUUUCUGAUUGAUAAAUUCUAGUUCAAGUUGUACUUUUAAACCUUAAGCAGUAAUGAACUCCUAAUUUACUUUAGUACCACUUACAUAGUAAGGGGGAAGUAGUACUGAAGAUCCAUAGUAAAAAGGUAUAAACAUAAUUAUUUAAUUGGGAAUAAAUAGCAAUUUAGUAUUAGCAGUUUGUAACUUUUAUAGUGAAAACCACUCUUUUACUAAUUAAGCUUUGCCUUGAUAUAUAGUAAUAGUCAUACUUUUUGUCUAGCAAAUUACUUUUUACUACUUCAACUUACACCUUCCAUUAUCUUUGUUCAAAAUGGAAAAUAAAUGACUGACCUUUUCCAGGUUUUCCGGAAAGAUGGAAGAUGUAACAGCCAGUUAACUACCAUCAAAUGCAGUGUCACAUUAAAUGUAAAUUCAGAUUCCAGUGAAAUAUUUAAUCAGAUGAGACAUUUUUUUAAAAAGUUGACAGCCCAUAAAUAUGGGUACUUGUAUAGAGAUGCGUGAUUUUUACUGUCUGGAAAUGAGCUUUCAGAGUCCUAUAAUGAGAGUAUUCAAGAAACAAUCUCUGAAGAAACCUCUGGUGGGAUUGUGCAACAGAACUAAUAACCUCUGUCAUGACAGACAAGCCCAAUAAACCAUCUGCAAAGACCACUUAGCUUCAGAAAUUAAGAUGAAAUUUAAUCAGUUAAUCUGACAAAACAAAGUGGAGUUGAGUUGUACUAUCAUCUGUAAAUAGUUUCUUCCCUUUCCAGUGCUGGUACAUUUGAACCAAAUCCCAACCAGUGAAUCAUGGGUUGCCAAGACAGGGGAAAAAAAAAAAAAAAAAUUUGUCACAUUUGGUGAGGGGAAAGGAAGGGAAAGAAGUGCGAAGGAAGGCUGCAGAAGCAACAUAUAAAUAAUUAAAAUCUCUGCUACAGGUAGAUGCAUUGGUAACUGGUCUAUUUAGGGCUCAGUGCCAAACGUUAACAUAAUGUGGACGGAUAUUAAGCAGUAAUGCGGCAACACAUCUGCUGCCAAUCAAGAUUAGCUGAUCUUCAUUUUUGCAUUUUUUUCUCAGUAGACUAACAAUUGGUCCAUCGCAACAGUUGGUCCUUUAUUUAUAAGGUUAAGAAAAGAAGGUUAAGCAUCUAGCUGCUCAAGAGCCAGACUUGGUGAAGACUAAACCAAAGCUAAAAGGCCAUAUAUACAGAGGCUACUACAAUAAGUAUGAACACAACCAUAGCAGGUUUUAAAAGUCAAUCCAAUGCCUCAUGAAGGCAGAUUUUCAAGUAGAGGUGGUGAUUCAAAGAAAAAAAUGGAGGUGGAACAAGGGUGGGGUCAGACUGACAAUAGCACAAAAAACGCUUCAAACUCAGAUGCUUUACUCAAACUGGACUUCCUGGAUUAAACAUCACUGCAAACCACAAGGGUCUGGUGGGGA